AUACAAAAUAUACAAAUAAAUUUUAUUAUUAUGUAGUUAAUUGUUAUCAUAUAAAAUAGAAUUAAAAUUUUAAGGUGAAAUUUAAAUUUAGUUUAAUUUUAUAUAAAUAAUUUUAUGAAGCUAUUAAAAUUUAAUUAUAAACUAGGAUUAGAUACCCUAUUAUUUAAAAUGUAAAUAAAUUAAAUAUAGUAGUAAUAGAUAUGGUCUUGAAACUAAAAAAAUUUGGCGGUAUUUUAAUCUAAUUAGAGGAAUCUGUUCCAUAAUCGAUAGUCCACGAGAGAUUUUACAUAAUUUUAUUUAAUUUGUAUAUCGUCGUUAUAAGGAGAUUUUAUAAGAAAAUAAAUUUUCUAAAAUUUUUAAUAAAAUUUAUUUCAGAUCAAGGUGCAAUAAAUAAUUAUGAGGAGAUGGAUUACAAUAAAUUUAUUUAAAUGGAUAAUAAAUUGAAAAAUUUAUUUGAAGGUGGAUUUAAUAGUAAUUUAAAUUAAUUGAUUUAAUUGAUUUUAGUUCUAAAAUAUGUACAUAUCGCCCGUCGCUCUCUUUAUUAAAAAGAGAUAAGUCGUAACAAAGUAGGUGUACUGGAAAGUGUACCUAGAAUUAU
rnacentral:rRNA from 1 species